AGAACGAACGCUGGCGGCAGGCCUAACACAUGCAAGUCGAACGAGCUGAGACCUUCGGGUCUCUAUGCUAGUGGCGCACGGGUGAGUAACGCGUGGGAAUAUGCCCUUUAGUACGGAAUAACCCAGGGAAACUUGGGCUAAUACCGUAUACGCCCUUCGGGGGAAAGAUUUAUCGCUAAAGGAUUAGCCCGCGUCUGAUUAGGUAGUUGGUGAGGUAACGGCUCACCAAGCCGACGAUCAGUAGCUGGUCUGAGAGGAUGAUCAGCCACACUGGGACUGAGACACGGCCCAGACUCCUACGGGAGGCAGCAGUGGGGAAUAUUGGACAAUGGGCGAAAGCCUGAUCCAGCCAUGCCGCGUGAGUGAAGAAGGCCUUGGUUGUAAGCUCUUUCGACGGGACGAUGAUGACGGUACCGUAUAAGAGCCCGGCUAACUCGCGCCAGCAGCCGC
rnacentral:rRNA from 1 species